UAACACAUGCAAGUCGAGCGAAGCGCUGUUUUCAGAAUCUUCGGAGGAAGAGGACAGUGACUGAGCGGCGGACGGGUGAGUAACGCGUGGGCAACCUGCCUCAUACAGGGGGAUAACAGUUAGAAAUGACUGCUAAUACCGCAUAAGCGCACAGGACCGCAUGGUGUAGUGUGAAAAACUCCGGUGGUAUGAGAUGGACCCGCGUCUGAUUAGGUAGUUGGUGGGGUAAAGGCCUACCAAGCCGACGAUCAGUAGCCGACCUGAGAGGGUGACCGGCCACAUUGGGACUGAGACACGGCCCAAACUCCUACGGGAGGCAGCAGUGGGGAAUAUUGCACAAUGGGGGAAACCCUGAUGCAGCGACGCCGCGUGAAGGAAGAAGUAUUUCGGUAUGUAAACUUCUAUCAGCAGGGAAGAAGAUGACGGUACCUGAGUAAGAAGCACCGGCUAAAUACGUGCCAGCAGCCGCGGUAAUACGUAUGGUGCAAGCGUUAUCCGGAUUUACUGGGUGUAAAGGGAGCGUAGACGGAUAGGCAAGUCUGGAGUGAAAACCCAGGGCUCAACCUUGGGACUGCUUUGGAAACUGCAGAUCUGGAGUGCCGGAGAGGUAAGCGGAAUUCCUAGUGUAGCGGUGAAAUGCGUAGAUAUUAGGAGGAACACCAGUGGCGAAGGCGGC
rnacentral:rRNA from 1 species